UAUAAAAAAUUUCGUCCACUUGUAUUGUUAAAAACUAGAAUAGAUAACCGAAUAAACAAACAAUGACAUGUGACAAGUCAUGUGUACCUCAUGCUAACGUACGAGAACCAAAUUUUAACAAUAGAAAUGGAUGCUUUUUUUAACA
rfam:Gossypium hirsutum cultivar TM-1 chromosome 26, whole genome shotgun sequence